rnacentral:rRNA from 1 species
GUCCACGCCGUAACGAUGAGUGUUAGGUGCUGUGGUAUUGACCCGCGGUGCCGUAGCUAACGCGUUAACACUCCGCCUGGGAGUACGGCCGCAAGGCUAAACUCAAAGGAAUUGACGGGCCCGCACAAGCGGUGGAGCAUGUGGUUCAAUUCGACGCAACGCGCAGAACCUUACCUGGGUUAAAUCCACUCAAAGCCGACAGAGAUGUUGGGUGCUCGCAAGAGAAUGAGUGAGAAGGUGCUGCAUGGCUGUCGU